rnacentral:rRNA from 1 species
UACGUAGGGUGCGAGCGUUAAUCGGAAUUACUGGGCGUAAAGCGUGCGCAGGCGGUUUUGUAAGCCAGAUGUGAAAUCCCCGGGCUUAACCUGGGAAUGGCAUUUGGGACUGCAAAGCUUGAGUGUGGCAGAGGGGACUGGGAAUUCCUGGUGUAGCGGUGGAAAUGCGCAGAUAUCAGGAAGAACACCAGUGGCGAAGGCGGCUCUCUGGGCAGAUACUGACGCUGAGACGCGAAAGCAUGGGGAGCAAACAGG